CAAGUAGGCGGCUUGGUAAGUGGGGGGUGAAAUACUCCGGCUCAAUCGGAGAACUGCCUUCCAAACUGCCAGGCUUGAGUGUGACAGAGGAAAAUGGAAUUCUCGGUGUAAGGGUGAAAUCUGUAGAUAUCGAGAAGAACACCAGCGGCGAAGGCGAUUUUCUGGGUCACUACUGACGCUAAAUUGCGAAAGCUAGGGGAGCAAACAGAAUUAGAUACUCUGGUAGUCCUAGCCGUAAACGAUGAACACUAGGUGUCGGUCCCUUUAGGGGUCGGUACCGCAGCUAACGCAUUAAGUGUUCCACCUGGGGACUACGGUCGCAAGGCUAAA
rnacentral:rRNA from 1 species